AGGCCAAGGUAAGGUACAAUAUAAAAUAUAAUAUAUAAAGCAAAUAAAGUUUGGACUUGUUAUAAUAACUUUGGAGUACUGCUUCUAUGCAUUGUAUGUUUUGUGAUUUCGGGUACAUUUGUUGAACCUUGCUUGCUUUAUAUAUCAUACUUUAUAUUGUACCUUACUUUGGCCUGA